AGUUGACCCCCAUAAGGUUUGUAUUAGUUUAUUUGUUUUAACUUUUUUUGAUGUUAGCGAGCACUGGCCACCGGCCACACAAUUUACCAUUUCACUGGUUUUUGAAGGGACAUUAAAAACACCAAAAUAACUUUAGUUUAUUGGAGUGGUUUUGGUGUGUACCUCCUACUCUGUUCAUGGCCUGCUAGAGCUUGUGGUAGCCACCUUUGUAUGAUUAACGUACAAUUAAGGAGAUAAGAACUUACUAAAGUAAACACACUGUGCUGCCACAUCUGAUUGAAAAUGAAA